rnacentral:rRNA from 1 species
AUUGAACGCUGGCGGCAUGCCUUACACAUGCAAGUCGAACGGCAGCACGGGAGCAAUCCUGGUGGCGAGUGGCGAACGGGUGAGUAAUAUAUCGGAACGUGCCCAGUCGUGGGGGAUAACGUAGCGAAAGCUACGCUAAUACCGCAUACGAUCUAUGGAUGAAAGCGGGGGAUCGCAAGACCUCGCGCGAUUGGAGCGGCCGAUAUCAGAUUAGGUAGUUGGUGAGGUAAAGGCUCACCAAGCCGACGAUCUGUAGCUGGUCUGAGAGGACGACCAGCCACACUGGGACUGAGACACGGCCCAGACUCCUACGGGAGGCAGCAGUGGGGAAUUUUGGACAAUGGGCGCAAGCCUGAUCCAGCAAUGCCGCGUGCAGGAUGAAGGCCUUCGGGUUGUAAACUGCUUUUGUACGGAACGAAACGGUGAGCUCUAAUACAGUUUGCUAAUGACGGUACCGUAAGAAUAAGCACCGGCAAACUACGUGCCAGCCGCCGCCGUAA